CAAAGUAUGCAUUGCAAAAUUGAACACGAUCAAAGAUCACAAAUCUGUCAAUUUUCGAACCGAGUGGACGUCUAAAUUCUAGUCCAAAAUUCGGGAAAAGGAAAAAUUGAAAAUGUAUUGCAUCAGCUUCCCGUUCACAUCCUGUUGCUUGCCUAGCAGUUUCUUCUGCGAUGGACCGUGUGGACCUUGUGGACCCUGUCCGAACCAGAGCUGUGGGCCCUGCUGCGGUGGAACCGGCUGCUGCCUAGCCCCUUGUGGACCCUGUUGCAGCCCUUGCGGUGGACCCCGGAAGUUCGACCACGACAUGAGACUGCGCAAUGCUGGAUUUUACGACUGACGGGGAGUGCCAGGAUUGGAGCCAACAAGGAUAUUCAAGAGCGGAGAUAAUGUAAAAUAUCUGCAGAGCGAAUAAAAAUGAUGAAUGAAAUGAAAA